UUGAACGCUGGCGGCAUGGCUAAAACAUGCAAGUCGAACGCGAAAGAGGGGGCAACCCCUCCGGUAGAGUGGCGAAAGGGCGAGUAAUGCGUUUCUAACGUACCCUAAGGUCAGGGAUAGCCCGGGGAAACCCGGGGUAAUACCAGAUAACCCCGUAGCGUCGUAUGGCGUAGCGGGCAAAGGCUUGCUGCCUUGGGAGCGGGAAACGUCCUAUCAGCUAGUUGGUGAGGUAAUGGCUCACCAAGGCUUAGACGGGUAGCGGGUGUGAGAGCACGGCCCGCCGCAUCGGGACUGAGACACUGCCCGGACUCCUACGGGAGGCUGCAGUAACGAAUAUUCCGCAAUGGGCGAAAGCCUGACGGAGCAAUGCCGCGUGCAGGAUGAAGCCCCUCGGGGUGUAAACUGCUGUCAGGGUCCAGCAACGCAAUGAGCGGACCCAGAGGAAGAGACGGCUAACUCUGU
rnacentral:rRNA from 1 species